AAGUCGUAACAAGGUUUCCGUAGGUGAACCUGCGGAAGGAUCAUUAACACGUAUCCAACGUUAAACCCCCCGUGACCCUGGUAAAUCAUCGCCGAACAGUUUUGAUUCAGGGACUUCGUUGGUCUGGGUAAGAAGACGCGAGGCAAGUGGUCUGGCAUCCCUCUGCUUGUUAGUGUCUGAAAGUGUCGCUAGCUCUGUAAGGAUGGCGCAGUAACGAUCGCUAGAGGCCGACACGGCCGGCGACUGGACCGCUGGGUUUUAACCCCUCUGAUCACCUUUGCAUGAAAACGGGCCUGCGCUUAAUUGUGCGGCCACCAAACUUCGAACAACUGUUAACAAUGGAUAUCUUGGUUCUC
rnacentral:misc_RNA from 1 species